rfam:Stegodyphus mimosarum contig112917, whole genome shotgun sequence.
GCCUUCGUGGUGUAGUGGUCAGCACGCUGAGCGCGUAUUCCAGAGGUCUCUGGUUCGAGUCCUGACGUAGGCG